ACCAGCAAAACAACUCAUUCUGAGCGGGUGCAGAGCUUGGCUGAUUGGUGAACGUGCAUGGCUUGUGUUUUUGUUCACAGUGGCUAAGUUCUUCACCCGAAAAGAAAAUAAGAAAGUGCAGUUAU
rnacentral:pre_miRNA from 8 species